rnacentral:rRNA from 1 species
UACAGAGGUCUCAAGCGUUGUUCGGAUUCAUUGGGCGUAAAGGGUGUGUAGGUGGCGCCGUAAGUCGGGUGUGAAAUCUCGGGGCUUAACUCCGAAACUGCAUUCGAUACUGCGGUGCUUGAGGACUGGAGAGGAGACUGGAAUUCAUGGUGUAGCAGUGAAAUGCAUAGAGAUCAUGAGGAAGACCAGUGGCGAAGGCGGGUCUCUGGACAGUUCCUGACACUGAGACACGAAGGCCAGGGGAGCAAACGGG